rnacentral:rRNA from 1 species
UACGUAGGUGGCAAGCGUUGUCCGGAAUUAUUGGGCGUAAAGCGCACGCAGGCGGUCAGAUUAGUCUGCAGUGACAGUCGUCGGCUCAACUGACGAAGUACUGUGGAAACUGUCUGACUUGAGGGCUUCAGAGGGACACGGAAUUCCGGGUGGAGUGGUGAAAUGCGUAGAUAUCCGGAGGAACACCAAAGGCGAAGGCAGUGUCCUGGGAAGCAUCUGACGCUCAGGUGCGAAAGCUAGGGGAGCGAACAGG